GUGACUUACCAAUGGUGGUGCUCUUAACCUCUUACCUUUGCCAGCUGCUUUCUAUUCUCCUCUCCCUCAGUAAUGACGCCCAACCUCCUUUCCUAAAACUCACCAGCCAAGCCGUCUCAACCUCAACCACCGUCUCCGUCACCUCCUUGCCGACGUUGAUGAGCGUUCCUUCUCCUUCUGUAGACCGAAUAAUGGUGGCCGACGGGGUAGGGCAGCGAAGAGUAGAGGAUUUUGAUGUAUGUUGCUGAAAUUGGUAGAGUUUCGGUAGGUCUUGGGUGGUCGGAUGAGGUGUCGCAAGGAAGGGCGGCGAGUUUCUACGAAGAUGUAGGGCCAUUGAUGCUCUCUUGUUUGAUUUGAGUGUGUUGGGGAAUUUCAUCUGUUGCUUUACCAUUGAUGAAGAAAGAUUGCAAGUCGGAUUACUCUGAUGGUCCAACAUCUAUUGCAUUGAUUUAGUUUUUGUCUAUUGAACACUAGAUGUUUCUCUUCAAGUUUCUGUAUUACUUUAAAGCACCAUUUAUCUCCAAUAUUAGCUUGGAAGGUGAUUGUUUGACUUGCUUCAUAUCAGCGUCGUAUGCUAAGUUUCAGUGCUUUGCUUAGCUUUCAGAACGGACAAAGUAGAAUAGUUUUAAAGUUCGUUGAUAUGAUAUUGCUGUAUCCCUUGGCUAUCAAGUAGAAAGGGUAGGAUUUCUUGGAUGAUAUUUUCAGAUGAUGGCAUCAAGCUUGAAUUGUUUGACAGUGGGAGACCAAAUUCCUGAUAAUUUGUUGGAUUCUCCGGCAAGGCCUGACAGCAUAUUCUAUUCAAGGCCCAGGUCCUGCUGGAGAAUUCCACCUCCUUUCUGGCGGAAGCUAAAUACAUAUGGUGGCCUGACUUCUUAUGGAUACUGUAUUUGGGGUUCGGAUGGCGAGUUGGCUGUGUUUGGUGUUAUGUGGGAGCCACUGCAGGCGGUGUUUGGGCGCAGUAAGGAAUACAUCGAAGCAGAGGCCUUAAACUAUGGGUUACAGAAAGCCUUGAGAUUUGGUUACAAAAAGUUGAUUGCUGAAUGUUCAUGUCUUCUACUUCUUACAAAGAUAAGAGACAGGACGACAAUUUGCAGAAGUUGUUACUAAAAUUCUUGAGUUGCUUUGCGAGUUUUAAUUCCUUCUUAUGUUCAACCGGAUGGAGAUUAUGUAGCUUAUGAAAUGUCUAAGUGUACUGUUGCUGGAUCGGAAACUGGAUGUGAGGUUAUAUGGUUAAGCAACUUUCCUACAGUUGCCUCUGAUGCUGGAGAAAUGCAGAUAAACAGGUACUUAAUGUCUGGUAAAAAGAUGGCUUAUGGAGUUGAAAAAUAUCACAUUAAGAAUUGUUGCAGGCUCAUUUCCUUUUCUAGAGGAGUAUUGAUGGUUCUGUUAACCGAAUUAGUUGUAGAUUGUGCAGUCCAGUAAAUCAGAUAAUAGAUGGGUCCAAUUCUUGUGAACUGUGAGGUAAAUAUUAACCUACUUUGUAUAUAAUUUUACAAGACAUAUAGUCCAUGAAAAUGCGCAAGGGUACAUGUCCUGAUCAUGUAGGUAUGUUUGAUCUUGGCUCAAUCGGAUGUUUUAAUCAUCUUAGUAUGUAUUGUUGCAUUGAUUUCUUGAUAGUUAUAACGAAUUCUAUUUUGAUUAUUUGGGUAUCAUCUUAGUAUUUAUAGUUUCAUUGGUUAGGUUAUUGCAUAAUCAUGGAAUGUUAAAAGAAUAUGGUAAAGCUAUAAUAUGUUAAAAGAAUAGGGUAAAGCAACAUAAUUUAGCAGUCCGUUAAUUAAUAAACGUUGAUUACUCUUCACAACCGUCAACUAUAACAGGUGUAGUUUCAUGAGCUUAUGUGCGUCAUGAGCUUGAGUACGUGCUACAAACCGGAUCUUGUAAGUAAUAGGUGUAGUUUCAUGAGAUAUGCUAUAAUAGGUGUAGCUUCAACUAUAAUAGAUGUAGUUUCAUGAGAUAUGCUACCCUGUUUCCAUUAUUAGAUUGCUCGCAUUUUUGUUGGGCUGUUGCAAAGCUUAUAGCUGACUAGGAGUUGGUUGAUUUCAUUGACUGUUUAUGACACUCUUGGGCAUAUAAUUUAUAUGAGAAUAGAUUUAGCCAUUUAGGUGAAAGGCUGUUCAGAACUGCAAGAAUGCCUCAAAUAAUGUAUUAGUUUUUGUGAUUUUUUAUUGUGUGGGUCAGUCAUCAGUGUUGUAGGUGAAAUAGAAAGUCUGGAUAAAAUAGUAUGCUUGGUUAUUUGGUUCGAUGGUUUUUCUACAAGUUUUCGUGUAUGAACUUAGUGCCAAUGCAUACAUUAUCCGCUGAGUGACCUUCUUAGAUGUGAUUAUACUGUGAUAUUGAAUUACAGAUUGGUUCUGGAUUUUUAAAUAGUAUUUUUGCAUUAUACAAGAAGAAGAUAGAACAUGGAUUGAGUUCAGGGUAUGGCAUCCCUUCUGAUCUAAGUUGGCAGCUGACAUUCUUGGUGGUGUUGAUAACAUUUGGAUUCAACCUGGAGCCAAGGUCUUGUAUCUUGGUGCUGCUUCUGGAACAAUUGUCUCUCUUGUCUCUGAUCUUGUUGGCCCUGAGGGAUGCAUUUAUGCAGUUGAAUUUUCACACAGGAGUGGUAGAGAUUUAGUUAACAUGGCAAAGAAAAGAACAAAUGUCAUCCCGAUCACUGAAGAUGCUAGGCAUCCUGCAAAGCACAGAAUGUUGGUUGGCAUGGUUGAUGUUAUCUUUUUCGAUGUUGCCCAGCCUGAUCAGCCUUAUACAUACAUCAACAACAAGAAAAGAUAGGCCUGCUUGCAGUAAAUUUAUUGACGUCCUGAUCCGGUUCUCAUAAAUUCAACAAACCCGUUGAUAUAUAGUUCCUCUUGCAGCUUAUGAUCGCCAAAGAUUUAUGCAGCCUGCCUAGCUCAAGCCUUAAUCUUCUGUGCUUCAUCUCCCGCCAUGGCUUGUCUCAGUGCGGAAACGUUGAGCUGUGGCACCCACCUAAGGCACACGAUCCCCUUUCCUGAUGUCCUAUUCACAAAGCCUGGCGGUAAAGCCCAUAUGAAAGGCAACUGCGCAAGCUCUAGGCCAUAAGAAAUCUCAUAAACUUCAUCUUUAGUGAGUUUAUACUCACUGCCAAACCCUAUAUAGAUAACUGAUCUAGGGCUCUGUUGAUCAAGCCAUUUGAAGUCUUCAAUCCAUGUUUCAUCUGUGUUUUCUUCUUUCUUUACUUUGGGUGGUGAGAGCAGGCCAACUGGCACCACAGGCUUGUUAAUGAGCAUCUGAUAAAGCUCGAUAUAUUCACCUUCGAACUCUUUGCAUCUUCGUACUCCUACUGCAUCACCAAACUUGUUUUUAACUUGUUAUUUAUGUAGUGUUUCUGAUUUUUUACUUGACUUGAGAGUUGAGACUUUUUUAAUUGUGUUGGACAUAUUUUUAAUUGUAUCAUAUUUACGGAGUAGUAUACUUGGUGUUUCUUUUCUUCG